CAAGUUUUUAAAAAUCUUUUUAAAAAUCACAUUAAGCUGUUUUUAUUUAUUAGCCAUACCCAUGUUAUCUUUAGAAUGCUAGUAACAAUAACAUCUAUUGAAUAUGUCAACUAAGUACAAGCAUGAAAGCCACAUUGAACUGUUUUAUCUCUUUCAGACCCAGUGAGGACCACUUGCAUAUAGUACACACAAAUCAGCCCCAAGAUAAUCAGAUUCUGUUUAUUUUGUAUUGCUAGGAGCAUUCCACUAAUAUAUUUUGAGUGCAGAAACAAAUACUUUGCAAGCUGAAAAUGAAUUACCAGAAGGAGAAGGAAGCAGCUGAAAUAAGGAGAUGGGUUGCCAGGAAGAGAGCAAUAAGCAGUGAAGCAAAAGCAUAAGUAAGACCUAGAGAGGGGCUGGGGAGUCCAUGUGUUCAGAAUUACGCAGGAGAAGCCAUCAUAAGAAGCAAGAAAGUAGAAGGCCACAGCUAUCGGGGAAGCAAGACCCUCUUGGGAUGUUAAUGCUGUGAACCCCUCCAUCGUAGGCUCAGGUAUACAUAUAUAUGUGUAAAUAAAACAUAUAUCAUAAAGACACCUCAGUCUCCACUGUGCCUCAUUC